UACGAAGGGGGCUAGCGUUGUUCGGAAUUACUGGGCGUAAAGCGCACGUAGGCGGAUUGUUAAGUCAGAGGUGAAAUCCCGGAGCUCAACUUCGGAACUGCCUUUGAUACUGGCAAUCUCGAGUACGGAAGAGGUUAGUGGAAUUCCCAGUGUAGAGGUGAAAUUCGUAGAUAUUGGGAAGAACACCAGUGGCGAAGGCGGCUAACUGGUCCGGUACUGACGCUGAGAUGCGAAAGCGUGGGGAGCAAACAGG
rnacentral:rRNA from 1 species